UACGUAGGUGGCAAGCGUUUGUCCGGAAUUAUUGGGCGUAAAGCGCGCGCAGGCGGUCCUUUAAGUCUGAUGUGAAAGCCCACGGCUCAACCGUGGAGGGUCAUUGGAAACUGGGGGACUUGAGUGCAGAAGAGGAAAGCGGAAUUCCACGUGUAGCGGUGAAAUGCGUAGAGAUGUGGAGGAACACCAGUGGCGAAGGCGGCUUUCUGGUCUGUAACUGACGCUGAGGCGCGAAAGCGUGGGGGAGCAAACAGG
rnacentral:rRNA from 1 species